CAAAGCAGUGAUACUUCACUCUACACACAGAAGAAUAUGAUGGAUAUAAGAAUAUUCUUUUAUAUCUAUUAUUUAGACUUCUUCAUAUCUUAUCUUCUUCUUUGAUUUUAGAUAUCUUAUUAUAGACAGUAUUUUCAAUAUCUUCAUUCUUGUCAUUCUCUGAUAAACUGCAUGCCUCUUGCAGCCACUGUUACUGUCAGACUAUAUUGUCUGUUUGUAUUGUAGAGAUCUUCUUUCUUUCAUUCCAUCAUAUUUCUUAGACUUCUUUUUUUUCUUUAUGUUAUAUCUCU
rnacentral:sRNA from 2 species